rnacentral:misc_RNA from 1 species
AAGAAAUGUGAAUUUUCAUGCACAUCCAUAGUUUAAUCGUGACAACUAAUGGAUUAUGGAUGAGAAUUUACGACAGUCCCCAUUGUCUAUGCACAUUUUCCUGUUUCAAAUGCAAAGCAGGCUAAUAAUUAGGUAAUCCUUGGAUAUGGUAAUGUUAUCUAACUUCAACGCUCAUUGUCGUAAUUUAAUGUAUUUAACUUUAGCUUUCUACGAUAGAUUGUUUCAGGAUUUUCCCCAUUCUAAAGCUAAAGUAAUACUCCUAUCUACAUCUCACCCACGGCGUCAUAUUUCAGGAUCUUCGUGAGUGGUAUAAACAUAUGAUUAUCUUCUCCAAAUUAUCGUCUACGACAAUUUUAAUGUAAGUAAGUAACUAUAAAAUUAGUAAAAUAUAUUGUAAAUAUUCUGUAUUUUUUAUAUAGUACGUUCACUUAAUUUAUAAUACUAGUCAAUUAGAUCUAGAUAUAAUGAAUAUCGUAUGGUUUAACAAUACUUUCAGUUACAAAAAAUUAUAAAAAUAUAUAAUCAGAAAAAAAAUUUAUUGGAAAGCUUUAAUGGAAAAUAAAUGUACACAUAUC